CCUACUUCGGCUCAGGUCAUGAUCUCGUGGUUCGUGGGUUCGAGUCCCACGUCGGGCUCUGUGCUGACAGCUCAGCUCUGUGCUUCGGAUUCUGUGUCUCCCUCUCUCUCUGCCCCUCCCCCUCUCGGGCUCUGUCUCUCUCUCGAAAAUUAAUGAAGCACAAUUUUUUUUAUUAUUAUUAAAAAGAAACGGAGAGAAAGAAGUGUGCAUCAGAGGGAACCACGCAGCGAAAAAUGGCGAAAACGUACUGAGUAUUCAGUGGAUUCGACACUGAGUAUUAACCCACUGCAGACACCAUGUGAAUGGUACCCCCCGGUCCUCAGGACAAACCCAGGGAGAAAAUUCUAGAGCUACAAAAACUGCAUCUUGGGGCGCCUGGGUGGCUCAGUCGGUUGAGCGUCCGACUUCGGCUCAGGUCACGAUCUCAUGGUUCGUGAGUUCGAGCCCCGCGUCGGGCUCUGGGCUGAUGGCUCAGAGCCUGGAUCCUGCUUCCGAUCCUGUGUCUCCCUCUCUCUCUGCCCUUCCCCCAUUCAUGCUCUGUCUCUCUCUGUCUCAAAAAUAAAUAAACAUUAAAAAAAAAAAAACUGCACCUUGGGAAGGCUGACGAUCUACCAAGGUCCCUCAGGAAGCAAGUGCAGAAAAUAUGUUGAGUUCGCGUCUUCCUGCCCCUAAAAUCAGUGUUCUCAACCCCCGUGGCAUUCUGCUGGCAGAAGUUUCUCCGUUCAAGAGGCUUUCUGAUGGUGCCUUAGAAGGAUCCAGAGGAACCAUGGACCCUCAGCGCGAUGCAGUGAAGUCCUCUUUGGGGUUUAUGGGAUCACACCAGCCCACUGCUGUCCACCAACCCAUCAUGGAGGUUGAAUGCUGCACAACAACCCGAAAUCAGGAAAUCGGGUCCGGCCAGCAACCUGUGGUUGAACACUACGUGUCCAGAAGAAAAACAGCACACAAGGCACCACCCAGCCUUCCAUAGUCCGAUGCGGAAAAUUUACCUGGAAACAAAAGAAAAAGGACACUACCGAGUCAGUUCUAUAAAGAUACGCAACUUACCCAAGAAGAGACAAAACCCUGGAAAGGUGAUCCUUCUCCAUCCCCAGUGAAGACAUGUCUUGUUGUAGUUUCUAUAAACCAAGGAAUCUAUAAAAAAGAAGAAGAAGAAGGAGAAGGAGAAGGAAAAGAAAUUUAAAUCCUCACACAUAGGGACCAAUUAAUAUAUAUUGGCUUUAUACAUUUAUUCUCAUUCAACACUUUUGAUACUUCUUGAAGCAUCUGACCCUACACAUUUGCCUCCAAAGCAUUGCAAAUUUCCCGAAGAUUUUACCAUUCAGAGCCUGUCGCGUGUUGAUAGUGUCCCCUGGACAAAGGCGUCCCUACCCUCCCCGGGCUCUCCAC
rnacentral:lncRNA from 1 species